GGGCCACACCUGUGGCACAUAGAAGUUCCCAGGCUAGAGGUCAAAUUGGAGCUGCAGCUGCUGGCCUACACCACAGCCACAGCAUUACCAGAUUGGAGCAACAUCUGCAGCCUAUAAAGCAGGUCACAGCAACACCGGAUACUUAACCCACCGAGUGAGGCCAGAGACUGAACCUGUAUCUUUAUGGAUACUAAUUGGGUUCUUAACCCCCUGAGCCACAACGGGAACUCCAAGGAGACUAUCUUAAAAAGAUAAAAUUUUGCAGAAACUGAAUGUAUCUGGUUAUUAAUCAGUCACAGUAACUUGAAGAAUAGCAAGCCUUCUUUUCACAGUUUUUUUCUUUCUCUCUAGUACACGUGUUCACCAUAAAACCACUGCCUAUAGCUUUAAUUUUAAUAGGAUUAGUCUUACAAUUUGGAUAUUACUAUCAAUCUUUUAUUUCUACUCCAAAGAGUGUCAUAAAUCCACCGACAUCCCACCUUGGUUCCUAAAGUUCAAAGUCUUGCACAAUUGCAAAAACAAACCCUUGGUGUUCAGAUUAAAAUCAGAUUUUUUUUCCCUUUGCACAUGGCUUUACCCUGUUGUACACUCUAUGAGUUCGGUGAGUUCAUUUCACACUCCUUUCCAUCCUCUGACCCCAAGCAACUGGAGCCAGCCCUGGCUGGAUGCCUAAUGGGGUGUUAGGGGCAGGAAUGUAAAGCAGAUUCCCAAUUCGAAUCCCUCUUUGUUUCACAAGCUGCAAAAACUGCAUCCUUUACACUCUGUCUCCAUCUAUUGGAUGAAAAUGACCAAUGCUGCCUAAAUUCCCCCAUAAUGGCUUUCUGUGCAAUCUUCUGAUUAAGUGCACUAAUAUAUCUUCCCUUAACAUAAUACUUAGAUUUGACUCUGUCAAACUCUACUCCUGGACAAAGCAGUUUAAAUGUUUUUGGAGGUUUUUUUGGCUGUGUUUCCACAGCUUGUUGAAGACCUGAGCCAGUGCAGGGACAAUGCCGGAUCCUUAACCCCCUGCUCAGGAGAGAACUAAUUUUUUCUUUUUUUUUUUUGUCUUUUCUAGGGCCCAGCCUGCAGCAUAUGGAGGUUCCUAGGCUAGGGGUCUAAUAGGAGCUACAGCUGCUGGCCGACACCACAGUCACUGCAAUACCAGAUCCAGCUCAUGGCAACGCUGGAUCCUUAACCCACUGAGCAAGGCCAGAGAUGGAACCCGUAACCUCAUGGUUCCUAGUCAGAUUCGUUAACCACUGAGCCAUGACGGGAACUCCACUAACUGGUUUUUGAUCAUACCUCCUGGACACACUUUUCUUACUUGGAGGAAAGUUCUAGCGUUCCUUAAUAGUAAGUAAUUACUUUGGCUAGUGGGCAGCUUAUGGAAGCUGGAAUCUUUCAUGCAUUUUCAGCUAUUCUCAGUGACUACUUCCAAUAGAUAGAAGUUCCCUUUCAGGAAGAUCACCCACUGAUCAUUAUUACCUCUGUUAGAAUCACAGGAACUGACCUGGGGCUUAGAAACUAGUGAGCGCUAGUUUACACAGCUUUCUAGUCCCUUUGCCCCAUAACUUAUCUAAGGGAAAUCUGGUCCCCCCAGGUUAGCUACAUAUUUCUAAUGACUUGGAAUUGCAUUUCUGGCCAUUUCACUUUAUUUCUACUCUCUAGUCCAAGGAUAAAUAUCAUUAGCUCAUUAAUUCUUUCAGCUAAUAUUUACUGAAUGUCUACUAUGGACAUUGAUUUAUUUAAAUUAGAGUAUUCAAUAUACUCUUCCUGGGAGUAUAUUAAAGUUGCUACCCUCCUGAAGGGUAUAUUCUAAGAGGUGGGGGAGUGCGGGUGUGGAGAUGGACAAUAAAUACAUAAAUAAGUAAACAUAAAGAACGUAA
rnacentral:lncRNA from 1 species